rnacentral:tRNA from 1 species
GGGUAUUUAGCUCAGCUGGUUUAGAGCACUACCUUGACAGGGUAGGGGUCACAGGUUCGAAUCCUGUAAUACCCA